rnacentral:piRNA from 1 species
UACACUCAGGCACUAUUCUACACC